GACGAACGCUGGCGGCGUGCUUAACGCAUGCAAGUCGAACGGAAAGGCCUGCUUUCCCUUGUGGAUUGCGGGUACUCGAGUGGCGAACGGGUGAGUAACACGUGAGUGAUCUGCCCCCAACUUGGGUAUAAGCCUGGGAAACUGGGUCUAAUUCCCGAUAGGACUGCAGGGUGGUGCCUGUGGUGGAAAACGAUUUUCUAGUGGUUGGGGAUGAGCUCGCGGCCUAUCAGCUUGUUGGUGGGGUAAUGGCCUACCAAGGCGGCGACGGGUAGCCGGCCUGGGAGGGUGGACGGCCACAUUGGGACUGAGAUACGGCCCAGACUCCUACGGGAGGCAGCAGUGGGGAAUAUUGCACAAUGGGCGGAAGCCUGAUGCAGCGACGCCGCGUGGGGGAUGACGGCCUUCGGGUUGUAAACUCCUUUCGACCGCGAGGAAGCCACCUGGUUGGAAGGGUGGUGACGGUAGUGGUAGAAGAAGCACCGGCUAACUACGUG
rnacentral:rRNA from 1 species